AGAGUUUGAUCCUGGCUCAGGACGAACGCUGGCGGCGUGCUUAACACAUGCAAGUCGAACGAGAAUCUACGGAUGGAGGAUUCGUCCAAUUGAAGUAGAGGAAAGUGGCGGACGGGUGAGUAACGCGUGAGGAACCUGCCUUGGAGAGGGGGACAACAGCUGGAAACGGCUGCUAAUCACCGCAUGAUGCAUAGAGGGGACAUCCCUUUUAUGCCAAAGAUUUAUCGCUCUGAGAUGGCCUCCCGUCUGAUUAGGUAGUUGGCGGGGUAACGGCCCACCAAGCCGACGAUCAGUAGCCGGACUGAGAGGUUGAACGGCCACAUUGGGACUGACAUACUGCCCAGACUCCUACGGGAGGCAACACUGGGGAAUAUUGGGCAAUGGGCGCAAGCCUGACCCAGCAACGCCACGUGAAGGAAGAAGGCUUUUGGGUUGUAAACUUCUUUUAAGGGGGAAGAGUACAAGACGGUACCCCUAGAAUAAGCCACGGCUAACUACGUGCCAGCAGCCGCGGUAAUACGUAGGUGGCAAGCGUUGUCCGGAUUUACUGGGUGUAAAGGGCGUGUAGCCGGGGGAGCAAGUCAGAUGUGAAAUCUAUGGGCUUAACCCAUAAACUGCAUUUGAAACUGUUCUUCUUGAGUGCUGGAGGGGCAAUGGGAAUUCCUUGUGUAGCGGUGAAAUGGGUAGAUAUAAGGAGGAACCCCCGUGGGGAAGGCGGAUUGUUGGACAGUAACUGACGGUGAGGCGCGAAAGUGUGGGGAGCAAACCGGAUUAGAUUCCCUGGUAGUUCCCACCGUAAACGAUGAAUAUCUAGGUGUGCGGGGUCUGACCCCCGGCGUGCCGCCGUAAACCCAAUAAGUAUUCCACUUGGGGAGUACGAUCGCAAGGUUGAAACUCAAAGGAAUUGACGCGCGCCCGCACAAGCGGUGGAUUAUGUGGUUUAAUUCGAAGCAACCCGAAGAACCUUACCACGGGUUCGACAUCCUGCCAACGAUGUAGAGAUACAUUAGGUGCCCUUCCGGGAAAGCAGAGACAGGCUGGUGCAUGGUUGUCGUCAGCUCGUGUCGUGAGAUGUUGGGCUAAGUCCCGCAACGAGCUGCAACCCCUAUUGUUAGUUCCUACGCAAGAGCACUCUAGCGAGACUGCCGUGGACAAAACGGAGGAAGGUGGGGACGACGUCAAAUCAUCAUGCCCCUUAUAUCCUGGGCUACACACGUAAUACAAUGGCGGUCACCAGAGGGAAGCAAAGCUGCGAGGUGGAGCGACCCCCUAAAAGCCGUCUCAGUUCGGAUCGUAGUCUGCAACUCGCCUGCGUGAAGUCGGAAUCGCUAGUAAUCGCGGAUCAGCAUGCCGCGGUGAAUACGUUCCCGGGCCUUGCACUCACCGCCCGUCA
rnacentral:rRNA from 1 species